rnacentral:lncRNA from 1 species
UCAGAUCAUCUUCUUCGAACCACCCCAUCCCCAAAUGACUAUCCAGCCAUCUCCACCGAUCUUCUGCAAUGUUACACACCCUAAGCCCCUCGUCUUCAUCAACAGACCAAGCUUCUCCAUACUGAACACAAACACACACACACGCAUAGAGAGAAUGACUGGAAAACGGAAAGCAUAGAGAAGGGAACGACAAUGAUUGGAGGGGAAACGAAAAAAAAAUUCCCAUAAGAAAUGUUCCGGGCUGAGUCGAUUUGCUAUGUAAUUGAGUCGGGUUGAUUUAUUUUCAUCUCUGUACUCGCCUGAAGAGAUUCCGGGCAGAAUCAAUUAAAGUUUCUUUUUUUUUAUUCAAGUUCUGUUUCGAUAGAGAUGGAGUUUGCCUGCGCUCACCGUUGAUUCGCGGCCACUAGUAUCUAUUUCUCAGCUGUUGUUACUCUUAAUUUCAAGGUCGGAUUCAUUUGUAUUGGAUACGAAAUUAAUUGAGGCUUCGCGCAAUCAGGUUCAAAUUUUUUUUUAUAUUUGUUUGGUUGUCGAUUGGGAAAAUGUGAUAACAACUAUGUUAAUCCAUCUAUAAACAUAGGCCUGCGAUUAAUUUCAGUUGAGGUUGGAUUCGGAUUUAGCAUUUGUUCUUGAUUCGUGUUUGGAAAUUGUAUUUGAUGUGUCAUUUUGUUGUUUGGAAUCCUGUAUUCACUGUUCUGAUUUGCCUCGAGCAUGUUCAGUUAACAAAAGCUAAUUUGAAUGUUCGUUUUCUAUGUCUCGAAUGCCUUUAGCUGUUUAUGGUGUUGAAGUGUCUCUUGGGAUUAAGUUUUCUCGAGUUGAAAUGGACGAUUUGUCCGACUUUAGGAUUUGUUUGAAUAAUUCUGAACCAGUGAUGCAUUUCUCAUGGCUUUCUGUUUGGUUCUCUGAUUUUCUAGUAUGCGUGAUUUCAAGCGCCAAGAUAUUUAGGCCACCUUCUGUUUGGUUUUUUGACUGAUUUUUUUGUUUGGUUCUCGUCGAUGGCUAAUCGUUCUGCUCUUUUCUUUGGGACAUGCAUAACAAUGUGUAGAGGACUGUAGAGGGUUUGAACUAAGUUUGGGAUAUUUAUUUGUCUGAAAGAAUUCAAAUCCCAACUGUGUUUGAAAUUAAUUAGAAAGCCUUUAAGAUAGCCUAAGAAUUGUUUAAUGAAAAGGUCUAUCUCACCUACUUAAGAAGUUGCUAGCACAUGGUAGGAUCAGUCUAGGGAUUAAUUUAAUAAAAAGGGGAUCAGCAAUGCAAAGGACACCCAGUUCAAUACUUUUAAGAGUUGGAAAGUAAGACAACAUGGGAGGAACAUUUCAAAAAGCUGAAAUAAUACAAUUGUAAAGGAAAAGAGGAGCUGGAAAGGGAGAGAGGAUGGAAGUUUAAAAGGAGAACACAUAGACCUGAAAGAGGGAGAGGGAGAGAAAAAAUCGGGAAAAAAAAGAGAAAAAAUCUGAAAACUUUAACAUUGUUCCAUUAAGUUUGAAUUUGCUAAUUUGCAACUUUUCUUUCCUUGAAUCAAUUUCUUAAUUGUUUGGACUUAGAAACAGUUUGAGUGUCAGUCAUUUAUCUUGGAUGUUGAGUUUGUUGGUUUAACUGUGAAUCUGAAAUUGGAUCUUUGGUAUUCUGGGUUGCAUUUCACGGUCUUGAACUGAUCUGUGGCACUAUUCCCUUGGAUCUGAACUUAAUUCUGCUGUUGUUACUGCUGAAAUCCUCACCCUUUCGUUUCAUCUUUACUUCCAGGUAUUUAUCAAUUCCAUGGACACCACUUAAAGGCAGUUUGAAGCUUGGUUCUGAAAUGUGAACAAAUUGGAUGAUGGUUGCUAUUGAAUUCUCACUUCUGUUUUAUUUCCAUUUCAUGCAUAAUGUAUAUCAUUUAGUUCGGAAAUAGCUUGGUCGAGGUAUAUUUAUGGUUGAAUAGAGUAUGACUAGGUUUGUAAUCACCUUAUUGUUGUACUUGCAAAGUUCUUUGUUCUAGAAUUAUCUUUGGUUUGAAACAUAGAACAAGUUAUGGCUUAGUUACUUGGAUGUCAUGGGGUUUGAAUUGGUGUAUAUGUAUAAAGGAAACUUUCAAAGACAUUCAUAAUAGCUGUUGACUGAUUGUUGAAUC